rnacentral:rRNA from 1 species
GACGAACGCUGGCGGCGUGCCUAAUACAUGCAAGUAGAACGCACAGUUUAUACCGUAGCUUGCUACACCAUAGACUGUGAGUUGCGAACGGGUGAGUAACGCGUAGGUAACCUGCCUGGUAGCGGGGGAUAACUAUUGGAAACGAUAGCUAAUACCGCAUAAUAUUAAUUAUUGCAUGAUAAUUGAUUGAAAGAUGCAACUGCAUCACUACCAGAUGGACCUGCGUUGUAUUAGCUAGUAGGUGAGGUAACGGCUCACCUAGGCGACGAUACAUAGCCGACCUGAGAGGGUGAUCGGCCAAACUGGGACUGGGACACGGCCCAGACUACUACGGGAGGCAGCAGUAGGGAAUCUUCGGCAAUGGACGAAAGUCUGACCGAGCAACGCCGCGUGAGUGAAGAAGGUUUUCGGAUCGUAAAGCUCUGUUGUAAGAGAAGAACGGGUGUGAGAGUGGAAAGUUCACACUGUGACGGUAUCUUACCAGAAAGGGACGGCUAACUACGUG